AGUGAACGCUGGCGGUAGGCCUAACACAUGCAAGUCGAACGGCAGCACAGUAAGAGCUUGCUCUUACGGGUGGCGAGUGGCGGACGGGUGAGGAAUACAUCGGAAUCUACUUUUUCGUGGGGGAUAACGUAGGGAAACUUACGCUAAUACCGCAUACGACCUACGGGUGAAAGCAGGGGAUCUUCGGACCUUGCGCGAUUGAAUGAGCCGAUGUCGGAUUAGCUAGUUGGCGGGGUAAAGGCCCACCAAGGCGACGAUCCGUAGCUGGUCUGAGAGGAUGAUCAGCCAAACUGGAACUGAGACACGGUCCAGACUCCUACGGGAGGCCGCAGUGGGGAAUAUUGGACAAUGGGCGGAAGCCUGAUCCAGCCAUACCGCGUGGGGGAAGAAGGCCUUCGGGUUGGAAAGCCCUUUUGUUGGGAAAGAAAAGCAGCAGGUUAAUACCCCGCUGUUCUGACGGUACCCAAAGAAUAAGCACCGGCUAACUUCGUG
rnacentral:rRNA from 1 species